rnacentral:tRNA from 1 species
AGUGGUUAAGAGCUUGGCUGCUAACCAAAAUGUUGAUGGUUCUAAUCCAUCAGCCACUC